rnacentral:rRNA from 2 species
UACGAAGGGUGCAAGCGUUAAUCGGAAUUACUGGGCGUAAAGCGCGCGUAGGUGGCUUGAUAAGUUGGAUGUGAAAUCCCCGGGCUCAACCUGGGAACUGCAUCCAAAACUGUCUGGCUAGAGUGCGGUAGAGGGUAGUGGAAUUUCCAGUGUAGCGGUGAAAUGCGUAGAUAUUGGAAGGAACACCAGUGGCGAAGGCGACUACCUGGACUGACACUGACACUGAGGUGCGAAAGCGUGGGGAGCAAACAGGAUUAGAUACCCCCGUAGUCC